rnacentral:misc_RNA from 1 species
UCCGGUUUGGCACCGGCAGUCCUCCCAGAGUCCUCGGCUUGACAUGUUGGUGACCGGUAUGUUUCCAUACCGGUCACCAACAUGUCAAGCCCAGGUAAGGUUCUUCGCGUUGCGUCGAAUUAAACCACAUGCUCCGCUGCUUGUGCGGGCCCCCGUCAAUUCCUUUGAGUUUUAGCCUUGCGGCCGUACUCCCCAGGCGGGGCACUUAAUGCGUUAGCGACGGCACGGGAGGAGUCGACACCUCCCACACCUAGUGCCCAUCGUUUACGGCGUGGACUAC